rnacentral:rRNA from 1 species
GCUGCAUGGUUGUCGUCAGCUCGUGCCGUGAGGUGUCGGGUUAAGUCCCAUAACGAGCGCAACCCCUAUCAUUAGUUGCCAUCAGGUCAAGCUGGGGACUCUAAUGAAACUGCCUACGCAAGUAGUGAGGAAGGUGGGGAUGACGUCAAAUCAGCACGGCCCUUACGUCCAGGGCUACACACGUGCUACAAUGGCCGGUACAAAGGGCAGCUACCUGGUGACAGGAUGCUAAUCUCAAAAGCCGGUCUCAGUUCGGAUCGGAGUCUGCAACCCGACUCCGUGAAGCUGGAAUCACUAGUAAUCGCGCAUCAGCCAUGGCGCGGUGAAUACGUUCCCGGGCCUU